rnacentral:rRNA from 1 species
GGGCCCGCACAAGCAGCGGAGCAUGUGGUUUAAUUCGAAGCAACGCGAAGAACCUUACCAGGGCUUGACAUCCAUCGAAUUUGGUAGAGAUACUAAAGUGCCUGCUUGCAGGAGCGAUGAGACAGGUGGUGCAUGGUUGUCGUCAGCUCGUGUCGUGAGAUGUUGGGUUAAGUCCCGCAACGAGCGCAACCCUUGUUAUUAGUUGCUAACAUUAAGUUGAGCACUCUAAUGAGACUGCCGAGGUUAACUCGGAGGAAGGUGGGGAUGACGUCAAAUCAUCAUGCCCUUUAUGUCCUGGGCGACACACGUGCUACAAUGGCUGAAACAAAGAGAAGCAAACCUGUAAGGGGGAGCAAAUCUCAAAAUACAGUCCCAGUUCGGAUUGAGGGCUGCAACCCGCCCUCAUGAAGCUGGAGUUGCUAGUAAUCGCGAAUCAGCAUGUCGCGGUGAAUACGUUCCCGGGCCUU